CUAAUUGAUCAAGGGUUAAAACCGCCUUAACUAAUCCGAGCGAUCAACUAAUGAUCAAGCUAUAUUAGAUGCUUGUAAUUCAUGAAUUAAAAUAUGAACGGAAACUUUGAAGUCUUGAAAAACGCCUAUUUUCAAUAUUUUGCCAUCAAAUAGCUGUAAGCAAUGGACAAAGGAGAGCUUGAUAUUAACAAAGAAUCAAAUGGUAUUUUUGGACAGAAAUGGAUGAAGAAGAGUUGGCUAAUCCAUUUUUUGGCUACUUUGAGAGGUAUAUAAACGAAGGAGGCAAAAAGAGGGGUUGCUACGGCAACAAGGCUGUUUAGUUCACGGAGGAAGACGCUGGUAGCAGGGCCGAAGUUGGACAUCUGGAGUUGCAUCAGAUCAGUGCGAUCAGUGUAAGAUGCCGCUGAUUAAAAAGGAGAAGGAAAUCCCGCUUGAGCUGAUUAACAAACGGAUUUUUGAAAUCAAGAAGAAGAUACAACUAUCAGAGGGGCAGAGAAAAGCUCAUUAUGAAGAAUGUGAUGCUGAAAAGAAAAACAACGUGGAGAAGAUUCGGGAACUAAAAAAGGUUCUAAAGGAAAUGUAUGUGAAAGAGGGCACACCACUGACAGUAGAUGAAGAAAUUCUGAAGAAAAGUAGUAAAUACCCAAAAGAAACACUGUCAUUUCGCAACAAGAAAAAUGAGGAAGCUAUAGAGCGACUGGAUUUAAAAACAAUUGAUCUUCAGAAAAAAUUAGACUUAGUUCGCCAUCAUGCCAAAAAAAGGCAACAAUAUAUGCAAAAACUCGCAGACGAUUAUCAGGAACAACUUUCAGCAAAAAUAAACAAUACAGCCUCAAAGAGAAUGGUUCCAAAUGCAAAGGUACCAGCUUAAUCAUCCCAUUCAUCAGAAUUACAUUUUACUUACUACUGAAUCUUUUCUUUCAUAAAAAAGACAGAUCUGCUUCAAUGUCGUAGGUACACUCAUCAAUAUUAUUAAUUUAUGAAUUGCUUUGUGGCUUCCUAAAUUCAAAUAAUAAUUUCAAAUUGCUUGCCAAAAAACUUUCUCAAGCAUAUGCAGAAAUCUCAGAAAUUACCAUAGAGUGCCCAUGCGGUCAGGGUGCAUCGAGAAGAAAUCCGCAUCAUGCUGUUGCUGUUUCAUGUGUGAGAGAUAGGAGGAGUGCUUUCUGCUGA
rnacentral:lncRNA from 1 species